ACAAAACACACACAGGUACGUGUAAAUAGAGAGUUCUAGAGAGAGAACGGAGAUGCAGAGCUGCCAGCCACCAUAUGCGAUGGCGGAUCCUCUUAUCCGACGCGUGCUCAACCCCUACAUGUAGAACGGAAGACGGUGAAUUCGGUGAAUUGAGGCGGCGAGAUCUAGGGUUGUGGCGGGACUCAGUUUAACUCCCUCAUGAAUUAUGAAAUACGGUGAACCACCGGCGAGCUCUCUGGUGACCAAUCUGGUUCUGCAUGUCAACAAUCUCAAAGAAUGUGACGCAGAGCAGGUGGUGGUAGGAUGACCGGCUUGGCUUAGUGUGUUAGGGUUUGUUCUAAAAAAUAUAUUUUCUUAAGUACCUCAAAUUUGGGAUCUGAAGUGAAGGCAUCUGCUGUUUGAAUUACCUACGAAUUUAGUUGAAGGUUGACUUUAGACGUGUUGAAGAUUCUUUGUUGCCGGAACACAGCAAAAUGGUUUGAGAAAUUAGAAAAGGUUCAUUUUUUGAUUUCAUACACUCACACUCACACUCGCACCUGUACACAAUGUUCGUCAUUGAUGUUUUUUAUCUUAAGAAAAGGUUGUUGGAGCCUGAGAUUAGAGUUGGGCAAAAAAAGAGUGAAAUCGGUCCUAAAAAGGUUUGAAACCAAACCUAACUUAACCUCCCAUUGUAAUUGGUUUGAGGAUUCCUCAGUACCCGUUAAAACCGACACGAACCGGUUUCAAACUGGGCUGAUCAUUUCCUGUUUAUAAACUGGUUAUAAUUCCAUUU
rnacentral:lncRNA from 1 species